rnacentral:rRNA from 1 species
GGCGAACGGGUGAGUAACACGUGAGUAACCUGCCCUUGACUCUGGGAUAAGCCUGGGAAACCGGGUCUAAUACUGGAUACGACCUUCUGGCGCAUGCCAUGUUGGUGGAAAGCUUCUGUGGUUUUGGAUGGACUCGCGGCCUAUCAGCUUGUUGGUGGGGUAAUGGCCUACCAAGGCGACGACGGGUAGCCGGCCUGAGAGGGUGACCGGCCACACUGGGACUGAGACACGGCCCAGACUCCUACGGGAGGCAGCAGUGGGGAAUAUUGCACAAUGGGCGCAAGCCUGAUGCAGCGACGCCGCGUGAGGGAUGAAGGCCUUCGGGUUGUAAACCUCUUUCAGUAGGGAAGAAGCCGGCCUUUUGGGUUGGUGACGGUACCUGCAGAAGAAGCGCCGGCUAACUACGUGCCAGCCGCCGCGG